rnacentral:rRNA from 1 species
UCGAGAAUCUUUCACAAUGGGGGCAACCCUGAUGGAGCGACGCCGCGUGGAGGAUAAGGUCUUCGGAUUGUAAACUCCUGUCAUGCGUGAACAAGAUUGCCGGGUUAAUAACCUGAGCAAGUUGAUGGUAACGCAAGAGGAAGAGACGGCUAACUCUGUGCCAGCAGCCGCGGUAAUACAGAGGUCUCAAGCGUUGUUCGGAAUCACUGGGCGUAAAGGGUGCGUAGGUGGCGAGGUAAGUCAGAUGUGAAAGCCCGGGGCUCAACCUCGGAAUUGCAUCCGAUACUGCCCUGCUUGAGUACUGAAGGGGUUACUAGAAUUCUCGGUGUAGCAGUGAAAUGCGUAGAUAUCGAGAGGAAUACCAAAGGCGUAGGCAGGUCACUGGGCAGUUACUGACACUGAGGCACGAAGGCCAGGGGAGCGAACG